rnacentral:tRNA from 1 species
AAGGGAGACCUAAUUCCGGUAGGAGACGAAAAAAAAGUAGUCCCAACCAAGAAUCAAUCCCAAAAGGUCGGAACGAGGUAUGAGGCUUUCAAACUAGGUUCUGGGUUCAUAAAAGACCUGAAUCAGGAACAAGGGCUAUUAGCUCAGGUGGUUAGAGCGCACCCCUGAUAAGGGUGAGGUCCCUGGUUCGAGUCAAGGAUGGCCCACCUGCACAGGUGGCAAAAACAAGAGAAGCUCCGAAUCAGCACCUUAUCUUAUAUACAUAUAUAAGAGAGAAUGCUGGCUCUGAGUACAGAGUCCAGAGGAACCUUGAAAACUGCAUAGAGCUAGGUGAAAAAGCCAAAAAAGAAGACCGCAA